AGUAGAAAGAAAAGUAAAGAAAAAACAAGCAGCAUUCACACCAUGAUUUGUCGCCAGAAUAUUCUGGCGACGAAUCAAUGGUGUGAAUGCUGCUUGUUUUUUCUUUACUUUUCUUUCUACUU
rnacentral:pre_miRNA from 1 species